UGCUCAGGACGAACGCUGGCGGCGUGCCUAAUACAUGCAAGUCGAGCGGACAGAAGGGAGCUUGCUCCCGGAUGUUAGCGGCGGACGGGUGAGUAACACGUGGGUAACCUGCCUGUAAGACUGGGAUAACUCCGGGAAACCGGAGCUAAUACCGGAUAGUUCCUUGAACCGCAUGGUUCAAGGAUGAAAGACGGUUUCGGCUGUCACUUACAGAUGGACCCGCGGCGCAUUAGCUAGUUGGUGGGGUAAUGGCUCACCAAGGCGACGAUGCGUAGCCGACCUGAGAGGGUGAUCGGCCACACUGGGACUGAGACACGGCCCAGACUCCUACGGGAGGCAGCAGUAGGGAAUCUUCCGCAAUGGACGAAAGUCUGACGGAGCAACGCCGCGUGAGUGAUGAAGGUUUUCGGAUCGUAAAGCUCUGUUGUUAGGGAAGAACAAGUGCGAGAGUAACUGCUCGCACCUUGACG
rnacentral:rRNA from 1 species